UAAAAGCUAACAGAUUUCACGUCUGAUUUACCAGAUUGAAUCAACUAUCAGACGUCUAUUCAUUUCAAUGUUUAGUUUUGCUGCUAUUAAAUCAGUUGUAUACUAAUUUUAAAGUCACAAGGUUUCUUUGGCUUUGGAUUUUGUCAACUCUUGUGUUGAACAUAUAAACACUUCUAGAGGUUUGUUUAAAUGAUUUACACCUUGGUAGACCAGUUUCUGUUUGACAGUGGUAGGACUAUAAGUUUGAAAACGGCCAUUAAGCAAGCACGUAUGGAUCAUCAAUUUGUCUUUCUGCAAACCAUUCCCUAUGACAGGGGUUAUUAUCGGUGAAUUAGCUAUAUUUCUCUUCUCUUGGUUGAUUAAUUGGCAAGUCAGUGAAACAAAAAAAAGAGAAAAUUAAAUCAAACGCGCUAAGAAUGCCAAUCGUUGGUGAAAAUGGUUGAGAAUCUCAUUGUAAUGUAUCAUCAUGUUUUAUCCAACUUGCCAGAAAAAAAAGUAAACUUGGUUUUGUCUUUCCACUUUGGAUGAUAAAGAAUCAAGAGCGUAGAUUAAUUCAAUUGAAAUUAACUAACCCAGUGGUGCUUUGUUAAACGUCUUGAUUAAACGAUUAAGAUGCUAUGAUAGCGUAAAGUUAUGGAAAUUGGUGGGAAACUCAAUUUGCUGAGCUGUUGAAUUUAUUCACUAUUUUCACACAUUGAAUAAUCCUAAUGCAACGUGAAGACCGGAUUACCAGAUUUACAUCGUGAAGUUCAAAAACUUGGAAAAAUGCAGAACUCUCCUGGUGAUGAUUCUGAUUUUUUUCAGAAGGUUAAAUCUUAAUCAACUCUGAAGUACAUUAUCUUUCAUCAACCACUUUCCAUAGCGACUUCAUAACGGACUCAUUUUCAUCCACCUUUCUCUUACCAAGAAUCAACCUUCUCGGUAAUUUAGUGGCGAUAUGCUAACCAAAAAAGCUUCUUCCAGCUUGUAUAACUGGAUAAUUACCAUAAUCACAGUUACAAUUAGUAAAUCUUGGAUCAGCAUAAAGUUUGUUUUAGUUGACGGUCAUAAAAAUCCCAGACGAUUCUCACCUUUAAUAUUAAUUUAUCACGUUUGACGUAUCAAGAAAGUCUCAAGAAGCGUCAAUAUUUGCUGAUAUAAAAAGACAAAAGAAAUGAAAAGCUGAAAAGCGUUUGUACCAAAAAUCAUCACCGAGAAGACAAUCGUCUAACUAUCGUAACUCACGCCAAUUUUCAUCGUUUCCAUAAACAUUUCUUAUCUUAUUUUCACUGAUAUCGUGUUACCACAAUCUUGGGAUGUUAAUCAAUAAAGCUAGUCGGUCAAUUUAAUGUAUCAAGGCUAAAAUGACCUCUUGAAAAUGGUGUGAAAAACGCAAUUGAAGGAAAAUCCGUGUCAAGAAUAACAAAGAUGUGGUGAGAGUUGAAUGGGUUUUGGAUGCAGUUGUUUACGUUUGUUUUUACUGAACCACUUAAUUACAGUUCUUGCUCAACAUUAUGCUCAUCCUCAUUUAAUAAGAGCUAACUACAUAAACUUCAACAAAGAUAGAAACAAAAGAUAUUGUUAUUGUUGUUGUUUUUCUAGAAUGAUAAUAAUCAUAACAACAAUAAUAACAGUAAUAAAAAUAAUAUUUUAAAAAGGUAAAAAAAGGUACAUUUUUGACAAGCUGGUGUUGCAAAAAUUGAAUUUGAUCGGUUUGGAUGGAACAGGGGGGAGAAAAUUCUCAUCAUCACCAAGAUUUCUCUUUCACUGGAACAAUAGGAACAAUUUUGGAAGUGUUGCCCCAUCAAGAAAUGUAAAACUUAAAGCUAUUCUGUUGCCCUGAUUUCAGGAACAACCAUGAUUAAGGGGCCUAAUCUUACCCAGAAUCAAAGUCACUUAAUUAUUCACCUUCACUUGGAAACAAAUUCAGGACAACGUGUAAUACACUUUCAAAGAAAUAUGAUUUACUAUCAGGAAUCAAAUUCUCUACAAUGUCAAUCAAUUUCCACCUUAUCAUAGCUGAAUCAAACAAUUACCUACACAGUCCGAAAUAAGAGUUAAUUGUAAAGCUAAAGGCUUUCUGUUGUCGCACAUUUUGCUCUGAAAAAUGAAAAGUCUGAUUCUGUAGCUAGCUUGACAUUAUUGUUUAUAUGCAAGUAAUUUUCUCGUCGCUUGUUUGAAAACUCCCUUAAUUUUUCAGCAAUUAAUAAAACCAUCCAUAAUCAAUUGAUAUAAUUUAUUCAAUUCUGGUUCCUAAUUUAAGGUCAAGUCAAUGCUGGACAGGAAAAAACUUACAAGCUAAAAAUGACUUUUCUCGUAAAUUUGCCAAAUAAACAGAUUUAGCCAUUGAAACUAAUCAACCAAAAGGUCAUGAUUAGUUUAGGUUGAUCCAAGUAAAUAGACAACGUUUACCAUCUUAAAGCUGACUAAGCAAACUACUCAUGCAUCUGGUCAUUUAGUUAAUAAAGCAAGCUAAAAUGAAUCAAAAUGAGUCAAAUGAUGAAAAUGGCGAUGAAAAUGAUUCACUUAGCGGCUUUAAAGUUGUAUAUUAACUGUGCCAUUGCUAAAUAAUAUUAAUUAUUGUCUCAGCUAAACUAUUAUGUUUUGUUGUACUACCAUUACCAACUUCGGCUAUAAUUAGACAGUGAAAAUAAAAGGAAAAACAAAGUAACAAAGGAAGAACAAGUUUUGGUCAUUAAUGAGGAACCUUUUGGUGGACAAUCAGUUGAAAAAGAAACACAGUUUGCUUUCUGUUACAGUUAAUCACUGAGAAUAUAAUAUUUUGUAUUGUAUUUACAAAAGCAAAUGCAUGAUGUUCAAUCUUGACUAACAUUGAAAGACGGAAAAAAUCACAUUUUAAAGAUUCAAGGAUAACCAAACUGUUUUGGUCAAGAGAACCGAUUAGUCCAUCCAUGUCUUCUGUCCAUUGGUCCAAUCAGUUAAUUUCGGUUCUGGUCUAAAUAAUCAACGUUUCAACUUGAAUCUUUUUUUUCUGAUCAACUUUUUCUCCAAGUAAUUUGUCAACAACAGUGAGAUGAACAAGAAAAAAAACGGAAUAUAUUAAGUGCAGUGUGUUAAGCACUUUUUUGUUGUUCCUGAGCAUCUUGAACAUGACAUUUUGGACCAGGAAAUGGUAUCAAUGAUUAAGAUGAUGGAGAACAAAAAAACAAUUUUAAAAUCAGUUUCUGCUCUUGGGUUGAUCAACUGUUGAAGUAUUAUCUGUACAUCUUUUUUUUCUUAAAAUCAGAUUAUUUGGUGACAAAACAUCUUAAAUCUUCUCCAUCAAAACAACUGAAUUUAUCAAUUCUGAUUCUUUAUUUUGACCAUUUAAUCUUCUCUAAUAUCAUUUCCAUCAUCUUAAUCAUUUUAUUUUUCAUUCAUUUUGGUUUAAAAUUUCAGAAGACUUUUUAAUAUCCAAUUUCAUUUAAUUUCAAUUCGUUAUUUCAAUUGCCAAAUACAUUUACUCAACAUAAUAUAGUUGAUAACAAUUCAUAAUUUUUUGGUAAUAACAUUGAUAAUAAAUAAAAGACAAAUGACAAAAUUUAGAUAUAAAACCAUGGAAAUAAAUUAACAAUUGAUUUAGCUACUAUUUAUAUUGAGAAAACAAAUUA